GACGAACGCUGGCGGCGUGCUUAACACAUGCAAGUCGAACGAUGACGACCGAGCUUGCUCGGUCUGAUUAGUGGCGAACGGGUGAGUAACACGUGAGCAACCUGCCCUUCACUCUGGGAUAACCUCGGGAAAUCGGGGCUAAUACCGGAUAUGAGCUCCUGUCGCAUGGCGGGUGUUGGAAAGUUUUUCGGUGAAGGAUGGGCUCGCGGCCUAUCAGUUUGUUGGUGAGGUAGUGGCUCACCAAGGCGAUGACGGGUAGCCGGCCUGAGAGGGCGACCGGCCACACUGGGACUGAGACACGGCCCAGACUCCUACGGGAGGCAGCAGUGGGGAAUAUUGCACAAUGGGCGAAAGCCUGAUGCAGCGACGCCGCGUGAGGGAUGACGGCCUUCGGGUUGUAAACCUCUUUCAGCAGGAAGAAGCGAAAGUGACGGUACCUGCAGAAGAAGCGCCGGCUAACUACGUG
rnacentral:rRNA from 1 species